rnacentral:rRNA from 1 species
CCUACGGGGGGCAGCAGUGGGGAAUAUUGGACAAUGGGGGGAACCCUGAUCCAGCCAUGCCGCGUGUGUGAAGAAGGCCCUCGGGUUGUAAAGCACUUUCAGUGAGGAAGAACGCCUGGUGGUUAAUACCCAUCAGGAAAGACAUCACUCACAGAAGAAGCACCGGCUAACUCCGUGCCAGCAGCCGCGGUAAUACGGAGGGUGCGAGCGUUAAUCGGAAUUACUGGGCGUAAAGCACGCGUAGGUGGCUUGAUAAGCCGGUUGUGAAAGCCCCGGGCUCAACCUGGGAACGGCAUCCGGAACUGUCAAGCUAGAGUGCAGGAGAGGAAGGUAGAAUUCCCGGUGUAGCGGUGAAAUGCGUAGAGAUCGGGAGGAAUACCAGUGGCGAAGGCGGCCUUCUGGACUGACACUGACACUGAGGUGCGAAAGCGUGGGUAGCAAACAGGAUUAGAUACCCGUGUAGUC